rnacentral:misc_RNA from 1 species
GCUCGCGUUGGAUUAAACUACUUGGAAGAGUAAAAGGCUCCCCAAGGCGUUGGUCUAGUAACUGGUUUGGAGAGGAGGACCAGUCCCCAUUGGGAUUGGGACCCGGCCCCAACUUCGUCGGGGAGGCAGCAGUGGGGAAUUUUCCGCAAUGGGCGAAAGCUUGCCGGAGCAAUACCGCUUGAGGGAGGAAGGCUCUUGGGUUGUAAACCUCUUUUCUCAGGGAAGAACAAAAUGACGGUGCCGGAGGAAUCGGCUUCGGAUAACUCCGUGCCAGCAGCCGCGGUAAUACGGAGGAUGCAAGCGUUAUCCGGAAUGAUUGGGCGUAAAGCGUCCGCAGGUGGCUGUUCAAGUCUGCUGUUAAAGCACAGGGCUUAUCCCUGGAAAGGCAGUGGAAACUGAACGGCUAGAGAGUGGUAGGGGCAGAGGGAAUUCCCAGUGUAGCGGUGAAAUGCGUAGAGAUUGGGAAGAACACCAGUGGCGAAGGCGCUCUGCUGGACCACAACUGACACUCAGGGACGAAAGCUAGGGGAGCGAAUGGGAUUAGAUACCCCAGUAGUCCUAGCCGUAAACGAUGGAUACUAGGCGUUGUGAGUAUCGACCCUCACAGUGCCGUAGCCAACGCGUUAAGUAUCCCGCCUGGGGAGUACGCGCGCAAGCGUGAAACUCAAAGGAAUUGACGGGGGCCCGCACAAGCGGUGGAGUAUGUGGUUUAAUUCGAUGCAACGCGAAGAACCUUACCAGGGCUUGACAUGUCCGGAACCCAACUGAAAGGUUGGGGUGCCUUCGGGAGCCGGAACACAGGUGGUGCAUGGCUGUCGUCAGCUCGUGUCGUGAGAUGUUGGGUUAAGUCCCGCAACGAGCGCAACCCUCGUUUUUAGUUGCCAGCACUUCGGGUGGGCACUCUAAAGAGACUGCCGGUGACAAACCGGAGGAAGGUGGGGAUGACGUCAAGUCAGCAUGCCCCUUACGUCCUGGGCGACACACGUACUACAAUGCUACGGACAAAGGGCCGCAAGCCGGCAACGGCAAGCAAAUCCCAUAAACCGUGGCUCAGUUCAGAUUGCAGGCUGCAACUCGCCUGCAUGAAGGUGGAAUCGCUAGUAAUCCCAGAUCAGC